UGUGUAGGCGGUUGUUUAAGUUUGGUGUGAAAGCCCCCGGCUCACCCGGGGAUCUGCAUUCCAAACUGCCUGGCUUGAGUACGGGAGAGGAUGAGGGAAUUCCUGGUGUAGCGGUGAAAUGCGUAGAUAUCAGGAGGAACACCGGUGGCGAAGGCGCUCAUCUGGCCCGAUACUGACGCUGAGGCGCGAAAGCUAGGGGAGCAAACG
rnacentral:rRNA from 1 species